ACGAACGCUGGCGGCGUGCUUAACACCUGCCCGUCGAACGCUGAAGCUCAGCUUUUGUUGGGUGGAUGAGUGGCGAACGGGUGAGUAACACGUGAGUAACCUGCCCCCUUCUUUGGGAUAACGCCCGGAAACGGGUGCUAAUACUGGAUAUUCACUGGUCUUCGCAUGGGGGUUGGUGGAAAGGGUUUUUCUGGUGGGGGAUGGGCUCGCGGCCUAUCAGCUUGUUGGUGGGGUGAUGGCCUACCAAGGCUUUGACGGGUAGCCGGCCUGAGAGGGUGACCGGUCACAUUGGGACUGAGAUACGGCCCAGACUCCUACGGGAGGCAGCAGUGGGGAAUAUUGCACAAUGGGCGCAAGCCUGAUGCAGCGACGCCGCGUGAGGGAUGGAGGCCUUCGGGUUGUGAACCUCUUUCGCUCAUGGUCAAGCCGCAACAAUGGUUGUGGUGAGGGUAGUGGGUAAAGAAGCGCCGGCUAACUACGUG
rnacentral:rRNA from 1 species